GUGAUUGCUUCAACUGCACAUAUACUAAAAUUUAAGUGACACAGAGAAGAUUACCAUGACCCCUGUUUAAGGAUGACGGGAAAAUUUGCGAAGCCUUCUAUAGAUUU
rnacentral:snRNA from 1 species